UAACCGGAAGUAUUUCAGGAAGUUUUUUUUUUUUUGUUUUUUUUUUGGAACUCAGGAAGUGGUUGUAUGCUUUUACGUCAAAGAUGACGACUGCCAGGCCCCUACCUCCACCUCCACCCAUACCUCCACCCUGUAGGAACCAGCCUCCAAAAGUCAGUCCUCCAUGUCCUCAGCAUGCUGCAGUUCCAUUUCAAUUAGGGCAUCCAAUCCAAGAGACAGGUGAUCAAGCAUCCGCUUCACAUCACCUACAACAGGAGCAGAACAUUGCUGUUCCCCUGCAGCCCACUGCAAACAACACCCCUCCCUCUCCACCUCUGCAUGGACAGGAGGACAUAGACUCUGAGGAUGGGAAUAAGGGACACCCAGUGCAGGAAACAGACCCUGGACCAUCCCAGCAGAACCUCCAGCUCUCUGAGACCACCGACCAUGAUGGAGGAAACAUUCAGACGGAAGAAGAGGAUGACAAUCUAUUACCUUGAAGUGCUCUGCUGAAUUAAUCUAUUGUUUUCAGAUUUAAAGUCAUGAUGGCCUAAAGAGCAAGCAGACUGUUUCUCCUCUGCUUUUCUUAAGGCAGAAUCUCUUCUACCUUCUGUCUCAAGCACGCCAAGCUGAUCAAAAGAAAGAAGCAAACUGGGUUUCAGUUCAAACCACGUUCAUUCCCUCACUAAUAGAAGUGCAAUUACACUCAGCUGUGCUUGUUCGACAAUAGAACGUAUGUCGCGCUUUGAUCGGUGCUUAAAAACCUGUUUUAUUUGGCCUCCUCACUGAGCUGAGAACGUCUGGAGCAUCUGGACUGUGUGGGAACAUCUGGUCUCCCUCUGUAUUUCUAGUCCUUGAUCUUUUUUCUAUUAUUUGACCAAUAUGUUUCAAGUAUUUUAGUGAGAGAUUUUGGGAAUAUGCAUUGCAGUGGAGAAACUUUUUGCAAACAAGAAAACGCUGACAUCUUUUAUAGGCAUAGAUCUAACAGUAUAGAGAGUUUGCCAUUUAUGUUGGAGCACAUUUAUGUACAUUUCAGUACUUUCUGUUAACAUUUAUCGCUAGCAAUGUUUGAUCUUUCCUUAAUUAUUUUGCAUGUUAAGGAUUAAUAUAUUUCCAUUGUCAUCUGUAUCGGAUCAUUGCAUCAUGAUAAAAAAUCAAUUCAGUCCUAUGGUUUUCUUUGUUAAUAUUUCAGUUGCACUUUAUAAUCCACUGCAUCGGCCCGAGCUGCACUUGAUAGAAAUGUAACUUGUGUCCCUGUUGAGUUUCUUCCCAAAAAACGCUUGUUGGGCAACAACAAUAUGCAUAAUUAAAUAAAUAAAAAACUAAAUGAAAUUGUG